rnacentral:rRNA from 1 species
UAGGGAAUCUUCGCUCAAUGGACGGAAGUCUGACCGAGCAACGCCGCGUGAGUGAAGAAGGUUUUCGGAUCGUAAAGCUCUGUUGUAAGAGAAGAACGAGUGUGAGAGUGGAAAGUUCACACUGUGACGGUAUCUUACCAGAAAGGGACGGCUAACUACGUGCCAGCAGCCGCGGUAAUACGUAGGUCCCGAGCGUUGUCCGGAUUUAUUGGGCGUAAAGCGAGCGCAGGCGGUUAGAUAAGUCUGAAGUUAAAGGCUGUGGCUUAACCAUAGUACGCUUUGGAAACUGUUUAACUUGAGUGCAAGAGGGGAGAGUGGAAUUCCAUGUGUAGCGGUGAAAUGCGUAGAUAUAUGGAGGAACACCGGUGGCGAAAGCGGCUCUCUGGCUUGUAACUGACGCUGAGGCUCGAAAGCGUGGGGAGCAAACAGGAUUAGAUACCCUGGUAGUCCACGCCGUAAACGAUGAGUGCUAGGUGUUAGACCCUUUCCGGGGUUUAGUGCCGCAGCUAACGCAUUUAAGCACUCCCGCCUGGGGAGUACGACCGCAAGGUUGA